CCUCCUUCGUUUGUUUUAAACUCUUAUCAAGUUCCAUUCCUUCAACUGUGUUUACCUGAUAGCGCGAGGUCGCACCACCUGAGGCAAUCAGACCUGUAGAGACUGAGCAUGUGACUGUUGAGUCUGCACAGGCAGCACAUUUCAUGGGAACCUGACUCUGCUGGUUUUGCGUUAUUCAAUUUCAUAUGUGUAACAAUAACACGUCCUGUAAAGUCUUGCAUAAUUAAAACUCAGGCUUCAGGUCAAAGCAGGAUAAUAAACAACAAACUGAUAAUCCAGCACACUAAUGGACAAACAACCCUCAAAAACAACGUCACAAUAAAUCUGUUAAUCUAUGCACACACUUUCAAGUAAUCAAAUAAAUAACAUUAAUAAAUGUGUUUUUUUUUUAAUUGUUGUGAGAGAGGAACUUUUCUUGAAAUGUGAAAAUAUAGAGCAGCCUGUUAUGGAGAUAAAGUCCUCAAUCAAAUAACUAUUUGACAAGUCAAUAUAAUGUCUUGUAGUUUUAGUUUCACAUCUUUAUAAAUUGAUUAAUUUAGUUUCUGGCAGCCUGACAGAGAAAAUCUGAGAAAAUACAUUUUGAGACAUCCUUCCUUGCUCUGGUAAUUUGUGAUUAAAGCUUGUCACAGACUUUAGCAUUAGUUUUGUAGCUAAAUUGUAUUAAAUUCCCUUAUUUGAAAGAGUGAUAGAUUUAUUAAUGAUCAAAGUAAUAAUGAAAGUAAUUGUUCCAGUCAUAGUUGGUUAUCAUUUUGGUCAAAAACCACCAACCACGUAUGUUUCUGUUUCCUUAACACUUUAACCCCACAUGUUACCAAUACUGUAUUUUUUGUAGACAUUUAUCAUGCUACAAAUAUUAAAUUGCUUCACUGUUUCCUGCUUGCUGAACAGCACGUAGUAAAAUCACUGUGACUUAUCUUGUGCUGCAUUGCUCAAUAUUGGACUAAUCUGACCUAAUCAAAACCAUUGUCAUCUGUCAUGAGUAGGUUUUUUCCCUUGAUUUGUUAACAGCUGCCUGAGACUGAGCUUCAGAAAUAACAACCCUCGAUAAAUAUUUCAUUAAAGAUGGACAUUUCCACUUGUUAGAACUUCCGUCCCCAGCUAACCCCAAGGAUCACAAGAGCCCUGAUGUUUUAAAUUUCAUUGUCUCUGAAAUAAAUUAAGAUUGACAUUUCUA